ensembl:ncRNA Y47D3B.13 ncRNA
CUUAAAAAUAUUUAAAAUUUUCAGAUACAUUUACCAAUUUUCCAGAAUAUCUAGAAGUAUCUACGAUGAUUCCGAUUUUAUAAAAAAAACUAUUUUAGAUGAUUCCAGAAUAUUU